rnacentral:rRNA from 1 species
UACGUAGGGGGCAAGCGUUGUCCGGAAUUAUUGGGCGUAAAGAGCUCGUAGGCGGUCUGUCGCGUCUGCUGUGAAAACUCGGGGCUUAACCCCGGGCCUGCAGUGGGUACGGGCAGACUAGAGUGCGGUAGGGGAGACUGGAAUUCCUGGUGUAGCGGUGAAAUGCGCAGAUAUCAGGAGGAGCACCGGUGGCGAAGGCGGGUCUCUGGGCCGUAACUGACGCUGAGGAGCGAAAGCAUGGGGAGCGAACAGG